rnacentral:misc_RNA from 1 species
GAAGUGCGAAAAGUGUCAUGACUUGCAGAUUCCCGAGAGCUGACAAACUUCUGAAUGCAAAUGGCGGCCGUCAAAAACGGCCAUGUAUGGCAGAGUGUAGUUGUUCAGACUAAUCACUCCCCUUCUCAUCAUACGUUGGUGGUUAGGAAAGGUAUCUGCGUUUACGAGUUGGCUUUCGGGCCUAUGGCGUGAACGUGAAACAUCGGGCCCUUCAUUUCAGUAGGGAAACCUACUGGAAUGGGGUGACUUCGGAACAAUACCUUCUUUUCUUUUAAGGAAAGGGGGUAACGAUUUGAAGUUUCACAGCGCUCGCAAAUAUAGGUAAUCUACCUCUGCCAUGCAGGAGAACCCGCUGAACUUAA